rnacentral:lncRNA from 1 species
ACCCUAUCAAAGCACAGUUGGCUUAUUUAUGAAUGUGUUGGAAUGUAUGAUUGAACGAAUAUACUGUGAAGCUGUUCGUUUAUUUGUAUAGUCUUGUUGACGUAUACUUAGACUUUGUUUCAUGUUGGAAGCAUUCAUGUUGAAGCUUUGAACCCCGAGUGUUUCAUUGCUAGGAAUGUAAGAGGAUUAGGACCGAGUUGUCUAAAUCACCUCUUUAUUGAAUUCAUGCCAAAUAGUCUUCGUUACAUAGGAUGUCGAAUGGCUGAAGCUUAACACUUGUACAAUGUGAGUUUACUUGUAAUAGUACUUCAAGUGAUCAGCGUUCCAUGAAUGGCCAAGGGUCUUGCCAUCGAAGCUU